rnacentral:misc_RNA from 1 species
AAGUCGUAACAAGGUUUCCGUAGGUGAACCUGCGGAAGGAUCAUUAUCACGUAUCCAAACGUAUAAACCCAAUGUGCACCUCAAAUUCCUCCUCUGGAAAUGAAGUGGCAGAGAAGUUGAUAUUCUGAUUCAUGGUCUUUCAGAAUUCUCUGUCUUGAUUCUCUUUAUUGAGUUUCAGCCUUCUACUCCGGGAGUCGUAUCAAACCAUGCUUGUUUUACUAAACAACUUGUACCUUUCUGAACUAACUUUGGUUGGAAAAAAACAACAGGUCUUCGGAUCUGGCUGUUUUUUGAUAACCUUGAUUUAUAUAAACUCUGAACUACUCUUAACAACGGAUAUCUUGGUUCUC